AUACGGAGGGGGUUAGCGUUGUGCGGAAUUACUGGGCGUAAAGCGCACGUAGGCGGACUGGAAAGUUGGGGGUGAAAUCCCGGGGCUCAACCCCGGAACUGCCUCCAAAACUUCCAAUCUAGAGAUCGAGAGAGGUGAGUGGAAUUCCAAGUGUAGAGGUGAAAUUCGUAGAUAUUUGGAGGAACACCAGUGGCGAAGGCGGCUCACUGGCUCGAUACUGACGCUGAGGUGCGAAAGCGUGGGGAGCAAACAGGAUUAGAAACCCUAGUAGUCC
rnacentral:rRNA from 1 species